rnacentral:rRNA from 1 species
GGAUUAGAUACCCUGGUAGUCCACGCCGUAAACGAUGUCUACUAGCAGCUCGCCUCGUUAGAGGGGUUUUGCGCAGCUAACGCGUUAAGUAGACCGCCUGGGGAGUACGGCCGCAAGGUUAAAACUCAAAUGAAUUGACGGGGGCCCGCACAAGCGGUGGAGCAUGUGGUUUAAUUCGAUGCAACGCGAAGAACCUUACCUGGUCUUGACAUCCACAGAACUUUCUAGAGAUAGAUUGGUGCCUUCGGGAACUGUGAGACAGGUGCUGCAUGGCUGUCGUCAGCUCGUGCCG